AGAAAAAGCAGUAAGUCUUUCUUACUCCAAAAGCGAUGUCAUCACUGGUGCUUCUUUGUUUCCUUCUCCAUCCACCCAAUGAUCAACUAGGGCCACUGGUCGUGGAUUCUACCUGCACAGCCUCAUUCAGUUGAAGGAUUCUUAAAGACUGGAAUUUCAGCUAGUCUGUGCUACACACCGCAGCAAAAUUUCCAAACAAGAAUAUUUACUCCAGUUGUCC